AGCCAUGCCGCGUGUGUGAAGAAGGCCUUCGGGUUGUAAAGCACUUUUGUUGGGGAAGAAACCGGCCGGGUUAAUACCCUGGUUGAAUGACGGUACCCAAGAAUAAGCACCGGCUAACUUCGUGCCAGCAGCCGCGGUAAUACGAAGGGUGCAAGCGUUACUCGGAAUUACUGGGCGUAAAGCGUGCGUAGGCGGUUUGUUAAGUCUGCUGUGAAAGCCCUGGGCUCAACCUGGGAACUGCAGUGGAUACUGGCGAGCUAGAGUGUGUCAGAGGAUGGUGGAAUUCCCGGUGUAGCGGUGAAAUGCGUAGAGAUCGGGAGGAACACCAGUGGCGAAGGCGGCCAUCUGGGACAACACUGACGCUGAGGCACGAAAGCGUGGGGAGCAAACAGGAUUAGAUACCCUGGUAGUCCACGCCCUAAACGAUGCGAACUGGACGUUGGGCACACUUAGGUGCUCAGUGUCGAAGCUAACGCGUUAAGUUCGCCGCCUGGGGAGUACGGUCGCAAGACUGAAACUCAAAGGAAUUGACGGGGG
rnacentral:rRNA from 1 species